CCUUCUCAUGAUCAUUGCUACUGAAGCAUAAUGGAAAAGUAUCAUUUCUAAACUAUCAGUCAACCUGGGAUGGAGUUACUUAAUUGGUCAGGCAGAGUCACUGGGGAUGGCAAGGUCCUGCACUUUCUUAGCUUAAUUCCAAGUGAAAAGCAAAUCCCUAUACUUUAUAAUGAUGGAGAAAUCCCUGAGUCAUUUGAUGGAGCUGCCAUAACAAAGCACUGCAGGUCCCAACGCGGUGGACCAUGUCUGUCAUCCCAGCACUCAGGAUGCUAGGGCAGGACCAUCAAGAGUUCUAGGCUGGCUUGGGUUUCUCAAAGACAUGGUCACAUCAUGAAAACAAACCUUAAAGCAAACUAUACAAAAGUGUUAUACAAAAGUGUGCUUCCAAAGAGAAGCCCUAGGCACCCAUCUGGGUUCAUCUCCUUCUGUCAGCCCUUUCUACCUGGAUAACUUGACCCCCCUCAAUGUAACUCCAUUAAAUUUUCAGCCAGCCCAUUCUCUUCAAGCCCAGCUUCCUGUGCCUUUUUUUUGUUUGUUUGUUUGUUUUUUGUUUUUUGUUUUUUUGUUUUUUGCUUUUUGCUUUUUGCUACUGUGUGGUGUUUCUGUAUGAACUCAUGCCUUCUCAAGAUCUUCCCCGAGUAAAGAGUAAUGAUUAAUUGGGGAUGAAGAACAAGUCCCAGACCAAUUAUGAAAGCAUAAUGAGGAAUGUGUGUGUGUGUGUGUGUGUGUGUGUGUGUGCGCGCGCGCGCCUGCAGCUCAGCAGAGGGAAGAGGUGGGAAGGAAGCUUCCACCAGUCGGCCGCCCGGUCUUGCCUGGAGGUGUUCUGCAUGUGAUCUUUCUGUGUGCUUCUGAGUAACAGGAUGAAGCCCAAGCUGUUUGCCUUGCUUUUGCACCAGUAUCUAGGUCUUUCCUGCCUCCCUUGCAGCAGACUGGGUGGGGCAAGAAGAGGCUCUCAGUUGUUAGAUUUUGUUUUUGUUUUUGUUUUGUUUUGUUUGUUUUUGUUUUUUGAUUUUUCUCUAUCUUGCUUCCCCCCCCCCCCCUCGCCAGGGUUUCUCAGGGUCAGGUGAGCUCUAUCUUGUCCCUCCUUUAAGGAAAGGCCAAAUGUACUGAAUGUCCAAAGGACAGGCCUUCUCAGUCUCUGUUGAUUGACUGCUUUUUAUUCUUUCCUUCUUUUUUGGCAGUGCUGAGGAUUGAACUCAGGGCCUCCUCGUGUUCUGCUCCUGAGCUGUCUCUCCAGCCCCAGUUUAAAAACUAUUAUGCUCUCAUUUCCCCCUUCCCUCUCUCUUUUUAAAUCUCUAUUUUAAUUUCUGUUUUGAGAUAGGGUCUCAUUAAGUUGCCCAGGCUGGCCUUGAACUUGAUAUCCUCCCUGCCUUAGUCUCCAAAGUGCUGAGAUAGCAUGACCGUGUUAGGUUCCAAGUCUAGUGUUGUUUCAAAUAAACAAUCGUAAACAGUACAUCUACAUCUUGGAGCUGUGUUCUAUAUAACUUAAUAGCUUAAUAACUCUCUCUCUCUCUCUUUCUCUCUCUCCAUGUGUGUGUGUUGAACCCAGGGCCUCGGGUACUAAACAAGUACUUUACCACUAAACAAGUACUUUACCACUGAGCUAUAUAUUCAGUCCUCCGAAAGAAGUCUUGAACAGCGUUCACCACAUAAAGGGUUCUGUGUGCAGCAGAGAGAAUGUCUUUAAGAUGGCCCCAGGGAAAGAUAGACUUGUCUAGCCUGAUUAAUUGGCUAGGUCAGGAGUAAUUGCUUCCAAAGUGAGGACCUGGGGCAUGGUUGCUAAGGCUGCAAGUAUCAACUUUGUCCUUGACUGAAGGAAAAGGCAAGUAGGGAAGGCUGCGACGUCCUGUUUCAGGAGCAAAGAGCUCACAGUCUCCAUUCUGGAUAAGCAGGCUGGACUGCAGCCUGACCAGAAGUACCAGGUAACAGGCAUCUUCAAAUAUGAUAGCUGGUUUUGCAAAACAUUCUCCUAGAGGGAUUUGUAAUCUUGGAACUGGGAGUUGGGGAAAUUGGUCCAAGGGCAGGCAAAAGAGAAACAAUAGCUACAUUUUUGAACCUGUGAACAGCAUCAUUGGCAGUUCUGGAUUGAAUUCAGAAGCAUUCUGAAAAUUCUUAUUUUGGGCAGUAUCUGUAUAUCGUAAUAAAGUAAUGUCAUUAGUGUUUCUCCACCUCCCCUCCCGAGUCUGCACAAAUCUGAACCUCCGUGCUAUUGGCCAGUUGGAAAGGGUAAUGUAAACAGAUUCAGUUACCAUAAUUAAGUUAUGUAUCUGUGUACCGAAUGCUUUGUCAGGCUGCAACUAUUUCAGUAUUCAUUCUAAGCCGAGGGCAUUGCCAAAAUGAAAUUACUGAUGACAAAAUUACCCUCUGUUGUUAAGACACAGCAGAUGUAAUAACCUAAUAUUUAACAGUGUUAUUUUUGAAAAAAAAAAAGAUGAAGACAGAGAUAGAACUGUCCUUUGCCCUACACCAAAGAAGAUAACUUGAAGGAGAGUGAACCACUUUACAAAAUGGCUGCAUUUUCUUUCACAACUGACCUAAAGGCCCAGGGGAGGGUUUCUCAGAAUAUUUGUUUGAUGCAGGUGCAGGAAGAGGAUUAGUAAGAGGAAAGAAAAAUAAUAUAUAAACAGGAAAAACAAAACAUGUAAAUAAAAUCUGGACGAAUGAAACUGUAGCUCAGGACAUGGCAUGCCAUUGGGCUGGAGUCUGGGCGCUUGGAAUCUCAAGUUCCUACUUGGAAGGACUCUGCAUGCUGUGCUAGUCUAGACUGCAGAAGGAAGACUGGGCACCGAAGGGCACUCUUUCUUCACAGGCUGGAAUGCAAACUCAUUUCCCAUUGCAAGUCAACCCACAAGGUACAGACUCUCACUUGAGAAAUGCAGACAACUAGCAAAGGAAAAUGGAAAGGCAGCCCCCAGUCCAAAGGACACUGCUUAAAACUGCAUCUAAAUGUAGGUGGUGGAAAGCUGGGUUGUGAGUGUGUAGAUCCUGAAAACCCAGCUCUUGGGAGGUAGGGGCUGGAGGAUAGUUCCAGGUCAGAAUGGAUUGCCUGAGACCCUGUUUUGUUUUGUUUUGUUUCGACUAUAAAGUCAAGAGUAUAGGAGAGCUCCCGAGUGGUCUCUGGGUGCUUAAACCCUUAAGGUUCUUGGUUGAGAUGUAGAUCUGAACGUCCUUCGCGGCCAGGAUUCAACUCUUUUCUGUGAAGUCUUCAGGUCUCAUCCAAAUUAGACCGUACAGUUCACUACCUGUACAUUCUGUAACACCAGGGCAGAGGCCAGAGUACGAGGAGAGGGGGGUUUAAGUCAAAGUCACUCCCCCCCCAUCCCCCCCACCUCUGCCCGGUCAGAUCCCUUAGGACCGGAACUCCUCCUCCUGGGAGCUCAUGUUUUGGAAACUGGUGGGGUGGGGCCAGAAAACAUUACAAUGGAGCUGGGAUGGAGGAGGUGUGCUUUUAUUUCAGAUUGUGUCAUUCGAGUAGAGUCUCCCGAAACAGCCACUAACAGAACCGAGGCUCUUUUAGAUCCCCUGGGUUGUUAGCCUGGCACACUGGGGAGAGUAGGUAACACAGCAGAAGAGAGAGGCAGUGGAGGAAGGCAGGAAACCCUUCACACGCCUAGCCCGGCUCAUCCCAUCCACUUUGGGGUUUGCCGUGCCGAUUGUAACAAGAGGAAAGAGCUAGCAGAAACCCCCGAAGGAAAGGAACGAAAGGGGAGGUGAGAAACUCAAUUGAAAAAGAGGUAGCAGGGAGAGUAAAAGUCAGCAGAUGCAAACUGGGAGGCCAGAGGAGGAGGAAAAGGCUGGGCUUCGGCAACCUGCUGCUAGGAUUUAGACAAAGGAGGUUUGAGAGAGGCGGGAUCAGAUUCUAAUAUCUGCUCCAGGAGAGAGCUCGCUGCUGGGCUCCGGGAGACAAAACAGCCGCAAUUCACACUGACUGGAGCAUGUACCACAGCGAGAGCUCCCAGGAAAAAGUAAGUCCGAGAAGGGAUUGGCCAAGCUUGACGGACUCUGACAUCGGAGACCCUCUUUGAGGCAUGCCUCCGUCCGUGCGUUACUUCUUCAUAGUGUCUGUGACUACUGUCAUCGUUUUUAUUGUGCUCUACGUGUUAAGUUUUGGAGGAGAUCAAAGCUACCAGAAGCUGAACAUCUCAGACUCGGUGAUGCUGGCUCAAGUGUGCUCAUCUUUCAUCGACGGGAAAAGCCGGUUCCUGUGGAGAAACAAACUAAUGAUUCACGAGAAGCCUUCUUGCACAGAAUAUGUGACCCAAAGCCACUAUAUCACUGCCCCUUUAUCUCAGGAAGAGGUCGAUUUUCCUUUGGCGUAUGUCAUGGUCAUCCAUCACAAUUUUGACACCUUUGCAAGGCUCUUCAGGGCAAUCUUCAUGCCUCAAAAUAUCUACUGUGUUCACGUGGAUGAAAAGGCAACAGCUGAAUUCAAAGGUGCCGUGGAACAGUUAGUGAGCUGCUUCCCCAAUGCCUUUCUGGCUUCUAAGAUGGAGCCGGUGGUCUAUGGUGGAAUCUCCCGGCUCCAGGCUGACCUGAACUGCAUCAAAGACCUGUCCACCUCCGAGGUCCCCUGGAAGUACGCCAUCAACACCUGUGGACAAGACUUCCCCCUGAAAACCAACAAGGAGAUAGUUCAGUACCUGAAAGGGCUUAAGGGGAAGAACCUCACUCCCGGGGUGCUGCCUCCAGCCCACGCCAUUGGAAGGACCAGGUACGUCCACCGGGAACACCUAAGCAAAGAGCUUUCCUACGUGAUCAGAACCACGGCUCUGAAGCCCCCACCUCCCCACAACCUCACCAUUUAUUUUGGCUCUGCCUAUGUCGCCCUGUCGAGAGAGUUUGCUAACUUUGUUCUCCGUGACCCACGGGCGGUUGAUUUGCUCCAUUGGUCCAAAGAUACUUUCAGUCCCGAUGAGCAUUUCUGGGUGACGCUCAAUAGGAUUCCAGUGAAGAGCAAUAUGGAGCCUCAUGUGACCUUUGGCAGUAUUUGUGGAGAUGUUUAACACACAGGGAUUGGAGGAUAACUCCUGGACAGUGCCCAGGGCUGUUGCUCAAUUUCCUACAGUGUACAAGACAAGCCACAACAGAGAAUCAGAGUUGCUGUGGUUUGAGAAGACUGUAGAGCCCGUAGGAGAUGGAGACUUGACAGAGGAGGUACCUCCUCCUGGGGGAGUCCCUGGCUCCAUGCCACCAAACGCAUCCUGGACGGGUAACCUCAGAGCUGUGAAGUGGAUGGACAUGGAAGCGAAGCAUGGAGGCUGCCAUGGUCACUACGUCCAUGGCAUUUGUAUCUAUGGAAACGGAGACUUGCAGUGGCUGAUUAAUUCGCAAAGCCUGUUUGCUAACAAAUUUGAACUCAACACAUACCCUCUUACCGUGGAAUGCCUGGAACUGAGGCUUCGAGAAAGAACACUCAACCAGAGUGAGAUCGCCAUACAGCCGAGCUGGUAUUUCUGACCCGCAGCAGCUCGGGCCUAAAUGGAAAUUGAAGACGUAAAGAAGAGCUUUCUUUUCCAAGAGACUCUGGUCUUGGCUAUGCUGAAGACUUUUUUAAAAAAUGGUUUUCAGGGAACCGUGAGGAUCUGGCAACAUGGCUCUGCUUGCAAUAUCCACUGAGCACUGUAAUACAUUUGACAGGAUGGCUGCAUGAAACUGUCCAGCAUUUUUCUGUCGUUUCCCCCCCACCCCAAAUCCUUUUUUUCUCUUCUUUUUUAAAAGAUAGGUAGGGUCUUGCUAGAUAUCUCUAGCAAGCCUGUUUCUUGUCAGGUAGCCCAGGAUGGCCUUGAACUCUUAAUCCUCCGCCUUGGCCCUCUAAGGGCUGCUAGUCCGAGUGUGGACAACCACACCUGGCUCUGGCGUCUGGCGGUCACUUGACGCUCAUCUGCGUCUCCGUCUGCUAGGUGGUCGGUGAUAAAUUCAAAUGUAUCAGAUCUCUGUGCCAGAUACUCAUAUUAGUAUACCCUGUUCAAAGGAGAAUGGUGGAUAAUACUGUCUGAGGAAAUCAGAACUUAUUUGAGAAGGAAGCUCUCGUUCCACAUUCCUAGCAACUAUAUUCUCAGGCACACAUAGGCGCACAGAGACAGCUUCCUAGUAACUCACAUCAAUUUCGUUUAAUACAAACUGAUCCUGAAGAGCUGAGGAACUAUGUAAGUUCAGUGUCCAAGCAUUUGACUGACAUUUGUGCAGAGUUAGGUUCCAUCUCCAGCAUCACGCACGGGUCUUGUGAACACCGACAUCUUCAGUUUACUUGUGUCUGCAGUUCUGUGGACAGAACAAAGCCAUUCACAAGUGACCGACAGCACGUGCCGUGAGACGGGAGGUGGCUGCAGGAAGAGGAUGCCUCAGGGAUGCCGGACAUUUCCGUGUUCUAUUCCAGAGUGUUCUCUUCUCCCAGAGAACACUGGAACGUCCUCACAGGGAUGAAGGAAUUCUUUCUUUCCCACAGGAAAGGUGCUACUGUGUGGGUCUGGAACCUGUGAAUGAAUCACUCCUGGGGUUUCGUUUCUAUGUGAGAGACGGGGACCCGGUUCUGUUGUGUGCAGCUUUAGCGGCAUCAGGACAGCUUCCAGCUUGCAAUGAUUGCUGCUGACAGGAACACCUGGAUCUCAAGAGCUUUUUAUGACAGGUGGACAUCUGUGUCAUUUUUCCUUGUUCCCUCAUCCAUCCAUCCAUCCAUCCAUCCAUCCAUCCAUCCAUCCAUCCAUUCGUCAGCCUACAUUCAACAAACGCCUCUUGAAUGUCUAUGAUUCCCCCAGACACAUGCUGACAGACACGAGGGAAGCAAGACAGAUUCUUUCUCCACUGUUAAACUCUGGGGAGUGGUAUCAGCUUUUGAAACCCUGCUCUAGACUCUUACAAAAUGGCUACACUUAGCACAUACUCUGCCCUGGCUAUAUAUUAUAUUGGGCCAUAGAGAUCAGCAAUGUAUCAAUUAAUAGAUUAAUCCAGAGACAGGAAGGAGGAAACGAAAGCUAGAGCCUCUUUGUGACUCCACCAACUCCUUCUUGUCUCCUUUUAUUGAAGAGUCCGCACACAUACUCACCCCUCUGGUGGGCCACAUGAGGACCUGCAUCUUGCAGAUGAUGUAGCAAGCCUUAGGAUGGUUCAUGAUCAGUAGGAAGCAAAUUCUAAGACCUCAGGGUGUCUUUCUGAGUCUCUCAUUUCUUUAGGGAUGUGGAGAGAAGAUGAAGUAUAGCCGUGUGUAGUGUCGCCAGAGAAGGUGGAGUUUAAGAAUGGUCUCAGUGUUAUUAAUGAGAAAAAGUUCUGUCAUUCAGGAAAAAAAAGCAAAAAACGUGAGGUUGGGACUCAGUAGGUGAGGGUGCUUGCAGCCAAACCUGAUGACCUGCAUUCAAUUCCUGGGUCCCACGGGACAGAGGGAGAGAGUCCACUACUGAAAGGAACGCUCAAACCUCCUCACACAGGUCCUUGUGCCUGGGCACUCCCCCGCCCCAUAUGCAUACACACAUACAUGCUUUUGUGAUUUUUUUUAUUAGUGCUUUUACAUUUAGAAAUAUUUAUUUAUUCUAGCAGGGAAAAAACCCCACAUGCUUUAAAUGAUGUCACUUUCCACAACUUCAUUCUUGUGCUGUCAUUGGACUGAAUGUUAUGCAUCUUUAAAGGGAAUCACUUCGUGUAAAACUCUCUUGUCUCUUCUGCUGAAAAGUAAAAUGGGUUGUGUCGGGUAAUAAAGGGUCGAGGGGUAGGAAGCACUUGGUCAAGGCGAAGUCUAAAACCGGUCUCUUUUUUAUUUGUUACUUGGAUGAGAGCACCUGAAGACUAAUGUUUUACACUGGAUUGAGAUCUCAUGGAAAAUGAAACAUUCUUUUUCUGGAGAAGUUUACAUGCCCAUUGUUGGUCACCUCUUUACUGUAAAUACUAUUGAAAAAAGGAGCGUAGCAUUUGCAUAGCAGGGAUUGUGCCUGUAUCUACUGUGUCCAUUUUGUUUUUUCGGAUGUUUUCUGGUUUUGUUUCCUUGGAAAUAAAUUAAUAUAUUGUUUUCCACCUUCA